GCCCCACUCGCGGCGGCGAUGUGACCCGGGCGGCGUGGGGAGGCGGCGCGGUCCCGUCCCCCGGCCCUGGCCCUGCCCUGCCCCGCGGACGCACCCCCAUGCCCGCUCACGGCCGCCCGCCCGUAGCGGCUGACGCCUGCGGAGCAGCGACGCGCGGGGCGCGGGGAGGCGAUGGCUGCGGAUCUGGUGGUGCUGCUCUGCCUGGCCGCCGCCGCGGCCGCCGUGGAAGAAACUUUGAUGGAUACGCGGACGGCGACGGCGGAGCUGGGCUGGACCGCCAACCCUCCUUCGGGGUGGGAAGAAGUCAGUGGCUACGACGAAAACCUCAACACCAUCCGUACGUACCAGGUGUGCAACGUCUUCGAGCCCAACCAGAACAACUGGCUCCUCACCACAUUCAUCAACCGGCGCGGAGCUCACCGCAUCUACACCGAGAUGCGCUUCACUGUGCGGGACUGCAGCAGCCUCCCCAACGUCCCCGGCUCCUGCAAGGAGACCUUCAACCUCUACUACUACGAGACAGACUCUGUCAUUGCCACCAAGAAGUCCGCCUUCUGGACAGAGGCACCCUACCUCAAAGUGGACACCAUUGCUGCUGACGAGAGCUUCUCCCAGGUGGACUUUGGUGGCAGGUUGAUGAAGGUGAACACAGAAGUGAGAAGUUUCGGGCCCCUGACCCGCAAUGGCUUUUACCUGGCUUUCCAGGACUACGGGGCUUGCAUGUCUCUGCUGUCUGUCAGGGUCUUCUUCAAGAAGUGCCCCAGCGUGGUGCAGAACUUCGCCAUCUUCCCGGAGACGAUGACGGGCGCGGAGAGCACCUCUCUAGUGACUGCCCGCGGCACCUGCAUCCCCAACGCCGAGGAGGUGGACGUGCCCAUCAAACUGUACUGCAACGGGGACGGGGAGUGGAUGGUCCCCAUCGGCCGCUGUACGUGCAAGGCUGGCUACGAGCCGGAGAACAACGUGGCUUGCAAAGCCUGCCCAGCGGGGACGUUCAAGGCCAGCCAGGGCGCGGGGGUCUGCACGCCGUGCCCCUCCAACAGCCGCUCCACCGCCGAGGCCUCGCCAGUCUGCACGUGCCGCAACGGGUACUACCGGGCGGAUUUCGACCCGCCAGCAGCUGCCUGCACCAGCGUCCCGUCCGGCCCCCGCAACGUCAUCUCCAUUGUCAACGAGACAUCCAUCAUCCUGGAGUGGCACCCGCCGCGCGAGACGGGGGGUCGGGACGACGUCACCUACAACAUCGUCUGCAAGAAGUGUCGGUCGGACCGGCGCGCCUGCUCGCGCUGCGAUGACAACGUGGACUUUGUGCCCAGGCAGCUGGGGCUGACGGAGACCCGGGUCUUCAUCAGCAACCUGUGGGCACACACGCCCUACACCUUUGAGAUCCAAGCUGUCAACGGGGUUUCCAACAAGAGCCCCUUCCCUCCGCAGCACGUCUCGGUCAACAUCACCACCAACCAAGCUGCACCCUCCACUGUCCCCAUCAUGCACCAGGUGAGCGCCACAAUGAGGAGCAUCACUCUGUCCUGGCCUCAGCCCGAGCAGCCCAACGGCAUCAUCCUGGACUACGAGAUCCGCUACUACGAGAAGCUGAGCCGCAUCUGCACGCCUGACACGAGCAGCACCGUGGGGUCCAGGCCAGCAGCAGACCACAACGAGUACAACUCCUCCAUGGCCCGCAGCCAGACCAACACGGCCAGGAUCGAGGGGCUGCGACCCGGCAUGGUGUAUGUGGUGCAGGUGCGAGCCCGCACCGUGGCCGGCUACGGCAAGUACAGCGGGAAGAUGUGCUUCCAGACCCUGACGGACGAUGACUACAAGUCGGAGCUGAGAGAGCAGCUGCCUCUGAUUGCGGGGUCUGCAGCGGCCGGCGUGGUCUUCAUCGUUUCGCUGGUGGCCAUUUCCAUCGUCUGCAGCAGGAAGCGAGCCUACAGCAAGGAGGCGGUGUACAGCGAUAAAUUACAGCACUACAGCACCGGGCGAGGGUCUCCAGGGAUGAAGAUCUACAUCGACCCCUUCACUUACGAGGACCCCAAUGAGGCAGUCCGAGAGUUUGCCAAGGAGAUCGAUGUAUCCUUUGUGAAGAUUGAAGAAGUCAUCGGAGCAGGGGAGUUUGGAGAAGUGUACAAAGGACGUCUGAAGUUGCCCAGCAAGCGGGAGAUCUACGUAGCCAUCAAAACGCUCAAAGCCGGCUACUCGGAGAAGCAGCGCCGGGAUUUCCUGAGCGAGGCCAGCAUCAUGGGGCAGUUUGACCACCCCAACAUCAUUCGGCUGGAAGGGGUGGUGACCAAAAGCCGACCAGUCAUGAUCAUCACAGAGUUCAUGGAGAACGGGGCCCUGGACUCGUUCCUGCGGCAAAACGAUGGGCAGUUCACAGUGAUCCAGCUGGUGGGGAUGCUCAGAGGAAUUGCGGCCGGGAUGAAGUACCUCGCGGAGAUGAAUUACGUGCACCGAGAUCUGGCUGCCAGGAACAUCCUGGUCAACAGCAACCUGGUGUGCAAAGUGUCGGACUUCGGCCUCUCGCGCUACCUGCAGGACGACACCUCCGACCCCACCUACACCAGCUCCUUGGGGGGGAAGAUCCCCGUCAGGUGGACAGCGCCGGAGGCCAUCGCCUACCGCAAGUUCACCUCGGCCAGCGACGUCUGGAGCUACGGCAUCGUCAUGUGGGAGGUGAUGUCGUUCGGGGAGAGGCCCUACUGGGACAUGUCCAACCAAGAUGUCAUCAACGCCAUCGAGCAGGAUUACCGGCUCCCACCGCCCAUGGAUUGUCCUGCCGCCCUGCACCAGCUGAUGCUGGACUGCUGGCAGAAGGACCGCAACACCCGCCCGCGCUUCACCGAGAUAGUCAACACCCUCGAUAAAAUGAUCCGCAACCCGGCAAGCCUCAAAACUGUGGCUACCAUCACCGCUGUGCCUUCUCAGCCCCUCCUCGACCGCUCCAUCCCCGACUUCACUGCCUUUACCUCAGUAGACGACUGGCUGAGCGCCGUGAAGAUGAGCCAGUACCGGGACAGCUUCCUGACCGCUGGCUUCACCUCCCUGCAGCUUGUUGCCCAGAUGACAUCCGAAGACCUCCUGAGAAUAGGGGUGACUUUGGCUGGGCACCAGAAGAAGAUCCUGAACAGCGUCCAGUCCAUGCGAGUACAGAUGAGCCAGUCUCCAACCUCGAUGGCAUGACGUCCCUUGUUCAACGGGGAGGGGACGGGGAGGGCACGCAGCGGAGGGGCAGAGGUGGGAGGGGAGGAACUGACGGGCGCCGCGGGGCAGCGUUUGGAGAGGUGCCCCCGCUGCCUGAGGACUGUGACCGCAGAUGACGGAUGUUCCUGGGACUCAUCUCUUAACUGGUGACUUCCGUUCCUCACCAACAGAAGCACACUUACCAAUGUCAUGGGGAACAGCGUAUAAAUACAUAUAAAUAUGUACAGAUCAUAUAUUUAAAAAAGAAAACAAACAAACAAACAAAAAAAAGCAAAGACAAAAAACAAUGAAGACAAACCAAUGUGCAUUGGGGAAGCAAACCCAAACCCUAGAGACCAGACUCCAGUCCCACCACCAGUGAGCAGUGGUCGAAACUGAGAAGGAGGAAGGGGCUGUUGGGGAAGGGAGAGGCAUGAGAUGGAGCGUCCUGGCCGGAGAAACCACCUUCCUUUUCUUUUCUUCUUUCAUCCUCCCUCCCUGCCCCGGCCCUCCCUGCUCACCCCGCUCCCCUCUCUGCUCAUGGACCGGGUGGAAGUGUGCUCAGACGUCUCCACAGCUCCCUGCCAUCCUACCCGGGUGCCGCUCCGGCAACUACCAAAGGACUUCGCUGACCACUGCAUGGGGGAUCCGACUCAAUCCAGUUAAUGUCUUCAUAUUGAAGAAGAGAUGUACCUUCAAUAGAAAACCUUGUUGUUUUUUUUUUGUUGUUGUUUUUUUUUUUUUUUUUUCUCUUUUGCUUGCAUUUUUUUUUGCAAAAAGGAAAAAAAAAAAAAAAAAAAAACGGAUUUAAAAACAAAACAGAAAUCCAUCCUGGAAAACGGAAAGAGGUGUUCCCGUGUGUGUGUGCGCUCGUGCGCGUGUGUACGUUGUCAACCUACCGUGGACUCACUGCUUGUCCGUAUCCGAAGAUCACCGCCGAGCCUGCGGCCGGCCGGUUCGCGGGCCGGGGGUUGGCCCCGGGGAGCGGGGGGGGGAGGCAGCAGGGGAGCACCCAAGGGCGAAGCAAGCGCUCAGCAUCCCGCAAGCGAGGAGGAGGACGCCGAGGGCAGGGACGGGACCGGAGGAGCUGCCGCGUGGUUGGCACUGGGUUGGUGGCUGCUGGAGAAGGAGGAGAGAUGCUCUGGGAAGCGGACUGCUAAGGCCUCCAGAGCCUCGGCGAGGCGCGGGAGAUGGCUACGGAGGACUUUUUUUCCCCGUCUUGCGGACCUAAGGAUUUUGAUGUUGAUUUACAGACUUAGGUUUCAUGGCUUCAGAGAGGUGUUGAGUCCAGCGUUGCAGCCGGGCAGCAGCGCCAGAGAGGGGGAUUGCCACCGGUCCCCAGGGACCGCUCCCCCCCCGCCACCCACGAGAUGAUGAUCCGGGAGGUCUCCGCAGCGCCCCGGGACCCCGUCCCCCCCCUGAGCCGCGGCAUGCCCUGUGCCAGCCGGCCGUACCCUGUCCUGUACAUAACCAGUGAGAUGUCUGUAAAAGAUUUCACCCCUUGUAAUUUUUUUUGCCCUCUCCCACCCCACCCCCCCCUUCCCCGCCCCCUCCUUCCCCAAUUUGUUGAUUGUGUUGAAAUUGUCGGAGUUUGUAACAGUAACUUUCAGAGAAUAUUGUACUAAAGAGAAAAUUGCACUCAAUAAAAAUGAUGAAAUAA